AAUAUUAACUUAGCAUACCAAAAAAAAAAUCAAAAAGAGUUCUAAGAAAGAGAGAGAACGAAAGAGUCUGAAGUUUGAACCCUAAAACAGCGAUUCCAGCCACUGCCAUUCAUCUCCUCGCCGCCGUUGCCGCCAUGUCUCCUCCAUCAAAGCGUCGCCGGUGGAGUUAUGAGGACGAGGUGAUCGUGGAGCUUCUCAAUUCGUGGAGCUCUCGCUUCUCGGGAUAGUAAUGCUUUAGAUCUUCCGCUUCUGCGUCGUCUUCCACGGCGGAUGCUGCCGCUGGUUCUGCUUUUGCUCCAGCGGCUUGAAGUACUCAUAGCAGUUUGGGCGCAGACUCGGUGGCACUUGCUGAGUAGAUCUGUAAGGCAAGCGAGCGAAAGACUUUGGAAGCUUCGAUUGAAGCUGCGAUAGUGCGAUCAAAGCUAUCAAAUCUUAUGGAACUAAUUCUCAUGUUGUUCCGAGUCAUUGAGUAAAGGGUUUCCAUGAACUGAACUAGGAUUUGUUCCUACUUUGUAAAGGUUUCCAUGAACUGAACUAGGAUCUUUAUUUGUACGAACUUUUUGACAAUUGAGCUUUCAGUCUUAUUGAGAAAUCAAAUUUUGAGGUUUCAUGCUCCAAAGAAUGUAACAAGAAAAAGGGGAGUAUGAAUUCCAGCUUAAACUUUACUAGAUUUGCUUGAUAUUGAAAAGUUAAAAUGAUUUAUGCUCCAUUUAACAUGACUUGCAAAUUUGUGGUUGCUUUCUUGAAUUGCUCUGGUUUGAUUUGGUGAUUGUAGAAUAGCAUGCUUUGUCAUCUUUAAAGCAAAUUUGGUGCCUACUCCACCAAGUUUGUGUCGGAAGAUGACUAAAUCAUUAUGUUCUCCAUAUCAUCUAUAUUCAUGAAAUUCUAUUAUAUUCAUGUUGUAAUGCUGAGGGAUAAAUCUUUUAAUAUUAACUCUUUCGCUACUGCUUCUUUUGUUAUGUCAUUAUAUUGCUCUGAUUGGUUUGUUACAUUGUAAAUUUUAUUUUAUUUUUUGAAUGAAUUAUGUUUUGUAUUUAUUUGGAUCUUCAUUUUUUUUAGAUGUUAGGGGCUGGUGUUAGUCAGGUUGCUGUAUGCGCAUUCUUCUAAUGAAUAGGAUAAUUCCUUUGCUGUUUAUCUGUACUACUAAAUAAUAUGAAAUUUAUUUCUAAAACUACUUUUGCAGGGCCUGCUAUGGUGUUUUGAGGUUUGUUAUGGAAAAUGGCGCCAAGGGAUGCGAGGUCAUCGUUAGUGGUAAGUUGAGGGCUCAGCGCGCUAAAUCCAUGAAGUUCAAGGACGGGUACAUGAUUUCCUCAGGGCAACCAGUCAAGAACUACAUUGAUUCUGUUGUAAGACAUGUACUCCUUAGGCAGGGAUUUGGAUAAGAAAUGUUGCAGAUGAGUAACUUCACAAAGCUUUCAUGAAGUAUAGCUUGGUGGCGAGGAUGUUUACGACAAAAAGGCCUAAUCCUUGCAAAAGCAUGCGCAUCUCCAUCUUUCCAAAUGGAACCAUCACCUUUUCAGCAUGAGUAAGUCGGUUCUAUGGUAGCUUCUCUAGACACCGUUCUGCACACCAUCAAAAGUUGCUCCCCUUUUGCAUUGCUUAAGGACACCUGUCAUCACCAGAUUACUCCAAUGAGAAUAUCUAUAUUAUAAAAUCUGUACAUUAUAAUUUUUCAUAUGUUUUUCUAAAGAUUUAAGCCAAUUACUAAACAUUUAUAAGGAGUUAUAUAUUUCACACCAUUUAGUAAAUUAAUGACGAUAAAAAUAAAUGAGAUAGAAUUAAGAGAAAGUAAAAACGACGAUAUAUUUUAAUUCGGUCUAACCUCUUCGACUACUUCCAGUCCUUCCAUUAAGGUGUCGAAAUUUUUUACUGUCAUUAAGCUUCAAGAGUAUUUAAUAAAUCAUUACAAUAAUGGACACUUGAUUUAUACUUCAUAGUAUAUGAUCACUAUUCCUAUAUUAAGCUAUUUUACUUAAAGAAUCAUUCUCUAAGAACUUGAAGAAAUAUCAACUUCAAGUAUUUUGUCUUAAGUGCUUAAUAAAAAUCUUUGGCAUACUUACCAAAUCUAGUGUAUAACAAGUCUCUCUUUUGAAGAAUUACACUCCAAAUUUUUCAACAAAAAGAACUACAAAACUCUCCUUUCACAAUGGAAUUGAAACAAAAUGUAUAAAAACUCUCAAGAAAAGUGAAUGAAUACAAUUGAAACUCUAUGAAUCAAACUUUGAGUAUCUCUUAAAUUUAUGCAAAAAUCACUUUGAAAUAUAUAGAAAUUGAUCUGAAUUCUCAAAAAUGCUUAGAAUUAAUGUUGUGUAUCAAAUGAGACUUCAAUAUCUCUCUUUAUAACAAUGCCCAACCUUAGAAUAUUGAAAAUUAAGUGAAAUAAACGUGAAAUUAUUUUGCCAAAACUAGUCGUUUAAACUUUUGAACACUUGUAAAUCGAUUUACUUCUAGUCAUUAUGUAAAAUAUUUGAAUUUUCAAAUGUAUUAACUAAUUUUCUCAAUGAGUAAAUUGAUUUUCUGUCUUCAAAGAAAUGAACUUUUGAAAAGCUCUCAAACAACCGAUUUUCAUAAGUGUAAAUCGAUUUCCUUGUAUAGAAAAAGAAGAAUUCAAUUCUAUUUCAAUGUAGUAAAUCGAUUUCCUGAAGAAGUAAAUCAAUUUUUUUAGAUAAAAGCUACUCAAAAAGCGUUAACACACAUCUCUAAUCAAUUAGGCUUAGUUUCUAGUUGAUUUAGGUUUUAUGUCUUAGCAAAUUAUAGAUUUCAAAGUCAUAUAUAAUAACAUUUUGUGUUAAGUGUAUUGAGAGAGCUCAUGACAGAGCACAUAUACUCAGCCAAAGUUAGUUACUUAUUAUCCAAUUAGUUCAGUCAGUUACAGAUAAGUAAGUUAGUUACAAUUAGAAGGACCUAGAACCUCGACUCUUUUCUCUCUAGAAUCUCCCAUCCUUUUCUAUAUAUAAAUAGCUGUACACUAUACCAAUUUAGCUUUUCAGUUGAAUACACAAUAAUAGUACUUCUCUCAUGGAUCUCAUUGCACUUCUUCUCUCUAAUUUUCUCUGAUUUACUCUGUUUCUUUGUUUGUCAAU